UACGUAGGGUGCGAGCGUUAAUCGGAAUUACUGGGCGUAAAGUGUGCGCAGGCGGCGCCGCAAGUCGAGUGUGAAAGCCCCGGGCUUAACUUGGGAAUUGCGCUCGAAACUAUGGUGCUGGAGUGUGGCAGAGGAAGGUGGAAUUCCAGGUGUAGCGGUGAAAUGCGUAGAUAUCUGGAGGAACACCGGUGGCGAAGGCGGCAUCCUGGACCAUGACUGACGCUGAGGAGCGAAAGCCAGGGGAGCAAACGGG
rnacentral:rRNA from 1 species